GUGGCGAGUGAUUUUGCCCUGUAGGCUGUCGCUCUAAUGAAAUAACCCUUAGACAUAUCACACCUGAACUAUGCUGCAGACUUUAUAACUGGCUGGUGGUUUGUUGCAGAAGCAGACAGAGCACCUUGCUAUAGUCCUCUCUCCUGCGUCUCCUGCUGUGCUUUCCAGCGUGGCACGCGCUCUCCCCAGAGCUGUGCUGGCAGUGCCACGGGAAUGGAACGUUGGCGAUGGUCUGCCGUGACUUUGAUACAUCUGUGGUUUAGGUCAUUGAUUUAGGUAAACUAGCUCAUUAUUUCCAUCUUGGGAAAAAAAUUUAGGCAUUUGCCAGAGUUUCUUUGAUUAGACUUGUAGGCACUCUUCACUUCAAUACCUCAGUUCUUCUUUUCUUUUGCAUGCAUUUUCCCCCUGUUUGGUGCUAUGUUUAUGUAUUAUGCUUGAAAUUUUAUUUUUUUUUUGCACUGUAACUAUAAUACCUCUUAAUUUACCUUUUUUAAAGCUGUGGGUCAGUCUUGUGCUCCCACCAAAAUACCAGUAGAAGUUUGCUGCAAUUUGCCCCAUUAAUUAUGCUUGAAGUUCAAGAAAGCUGAGCAGAGGUGUCUCGUAUUUUCCAGCACAUCGUUUUGAAGUCGAUGCUUCAUGUAAUGCUGCAUUUACGUUUCAAUUACAUUUGGAUAUUUUUCUGCACCAUCCACUCGCAGAGAAGGACCUCUGCCCACACACACAGCAGCUUUCAGCUCUGCUUCAUACUCAGCCCCAAGUGAAGGGGAUGUUGAGCUUCUCCAGUGAAUUUGUUGUCUUAAUUUGAGAUCUAAAUUCUUAGAGUUUUUGAGCAAAUUAAUCUAGGUGACUGAUUUUAAAAAUAAUUCUGAUGUACAAACCUUGGAUGUCUAUUUGAUUUAAAAAAAAUAUAUUAGGUGCGAUAAUAUUAGGUAAAACCAAGCGAUUCCUGAAUUAUAUAACUAUGAAAGUGUAUAGGUAACAGGUGAGGCUGGAUAUGAAUUUUACUUGUGGGAUGAUUUGUGGUCAUAUCAUGGCUCUCUUGAUAAUUUAUAAACUACCUGAUGCCAGGAGCUUUGGGCUUUGCAUUGAAUCUGAUGCAUUUAUCCCAGUGUUAGGGCGUUCUCUGGCUUCUUGGCUUUCAAAUCAGAUUGUUUCAGUCAUGAUUCAUUGAAAANAUGGAAGGCAGAAUUUAAAGUUUGAUAACAAGAUAGAUAACAGAAUAAAACAUUUAACAUAUGUAUAAAAUUUUUGAAACUAAUUGUAGUUUUAGUUUUUUGCGCAAACACAAUCUUGUCUUCUUUCCUCACUUCUGCUUUGUUUAAAUCACAAGAGUGCUUUAACGACAUUUAGCAAGUGUUCAAAUAAUUAUUGACGGUUUUUUGUCUGUUUGUUUUUUUUUGUUGUUUUUUGUUUGUUUGUUUGUUUGUUUUUUGCCUUUGUCGGCUUUGCCUAGCGUUAGAAGGCCAUGGAGCUUAAUCCUCAAACAGCCCCUAGAAUUCCAUAGCGUCCUGAACAUCCUUCGGUGCAUGUGGUAGUGCCACUCCUGCGGGAGUCCUUGCCCCGAGUGGAGCGAUGCAGUCGGCGAGAGGAGGAGCGAGCAGGUGUAGGCUUUUCUUUCCAUUUGUGUUGUGUAAGGUGAAGUUCCAGGCGCUGUUGCACUUGAUGGUAAGGAGUGGAUUGUGGAUCAGCAUUGGCUGGCAUGUUGGUGAAUCAAAUUUGAGUUUUCGAUGCCAUGUGGUCCUGCAUAAAAAAGGUUCUUGCCUUAAAAUUAAAACUUUCAUGAAUAUUCUUUAAUUUCUGAACAAACCAUUUACAUUCCCUUUGUUUUAUUAUACAUUAGAUGUUGAGAUGGAGUCAGUUACAGCUCACUAGUAUAGUUGUUACUACAGGAUUACACUAGAAUUCCUGUCACAUGUAUUCCAAAGACAUUUUAAAAACCAGAAUAUGAAUUUUUUUAACAUCAUAAUCAAAAUGAUCUUUGGCUAAAUACCCAGUUUUACUAAAAACCUCCCGCUAGGUAGUUCCAGUGAUGGGAAUGUUUGUGGCGAGUGAUUUUGCCCUGUAGGCUGUCGCUCUAAUGAAAUAACCCUUAGACAUAUCACACCUGAACUAUGCUGCAGACUUUAUAACUGGCUGGUGGUUUGUUGCAGAAGCAGACAGAGCACCUUGCUAUAGUCCUCUCUCCUGCGUCUCCUGCUGUGCUUUCCAGCGUGGCACGCGCUCUCCCCAGAGCUGUGCUGGCAGUGCCACGGGAAUGGAACGUUGGCGAUGGUCUGCCGUGACUUUGAUACAUCUGUGGUUUAGGUCAUUGAUUUAGGUAAACUAGCUCAUUAUUUCCAUCUUGGGAAAAAAAUUUAGGCAUUUGCCAGAGUUUCUUUGAUUAGACUUGUAGGCACUCUUCACUUCAAUACCUCAGUUCUUCUUUUCUUUUGCAUGCAUUUUCCCCCUGUUUGGUGCUAUGUUUAUGUAUUAUGCUUGAAAUUUUAUUUUUUUUUUUGCACUGUAACUAUAAUACCUCUUAAUUUACCUUUUUUAAAGCUGUGGGUCAGUCUUGUGCUCCCACCAAAAUACCAGUAGAAGUUUGCUGCAAUUUGCCCCAUUAAUUAUGCUUGAAGUUCAAGAAAGCUGAGCAGAGGUGUCUCGUAUUUUCCAGCACAUCGUUUUGAAGUCGAUGCUUCAUGUAAUGCUGCAUUUACGUUUCAAUUACAUUUGGAUAUUUUUCUGCACCAUCCACUCGCAGAGAAGGACCUCUGCCCACACACACAGCAGCUUUCAGCUCUGCUUCAUACUCAGCCCCAAGUGAAGGGGAUGUUGAGCUUCUCCAGUGAAUUUGUUGUCUUAAUUUGAGAUCUAAAUUCUUAGAGUUUUUGAGCAAAUUAAUCUAGGUGACUGAUUUUAAAAAUAAUUCUGAUGUACAAACCUUGGAUGUCUAUUUGAUUUAAAAAAAAUAUAUUAGGUGCGAUAAUAUUAGGUAAAACCAAGCGAUUCCUGAAUUAUAUAACUAUGAAAGUGUAUAGGUAACAGGUGAGGCUGGAUAUGAAUUUUACUUGUGGGAUGAUUUGUGGUCAUAUCAUGGCUCUCUUGAUAAUUUAUAAACUACCUGAUGCCAGGAGCUUUGGGCUUUGCAUUGAAUCUGAUGCAUUUAUCCCAGUGUUAGGGCGUUCUCUGGCUUCUUGGCUUUCAAAUCAGAUUGUUUCAGUCAUGAUUCAUUGAAAAUGCCUCAAUGUAUUUUGUAACCUUAAGAAAAAUAUUUUAUGAUCAUACUAAAAAAAGUUCAGACUCGCAUAUGAUUAGGCCAUACAUUCUCAGGGGCACGAAUUUCUUGCUACUAUUCAAAAUGUUUUAUCAACAGCAAACAUGAGCUACUACUAUUACUGCCCCUCUUUUUUUUCUUUGGAAAAAAAGAGCUGAUAUUAACAGUUUGAAGCAUUCUAUGAUCCCCUGGUGACUAAGUAAAAAAUAAAUGAACAAUAUUAUUUAGACACAUUAAAUGGUUAUGAACGCUUUUGUGCUGCUGAGUUUUCAUGCUGUCAAGUUUUCCCCAGUUUAGUUUGUUGACAUGUUUUGCAUCUGUCAAUUAAGAAAAAAGUCACUCUGUUGCCCCACUUUAAAACUGUGUGUGCAUCUUUUGCCCCUGCAAUGGCCAUGGGGGCAGAACAUGCCGUGGAAACGGGCUGGUGAGUGGGGCUGUCCCCGGCACAUGAUAAUGGACCGCUGAGGUGCCGCUCGGCAGAGCCACUGCAGGAACCCUGAUAGUGUGCAGGUCGGUUGGCAUGGACCUUCACUGUAAAUGUCUCCUUUCUUUCAUGAUAUGCUUUCUGCAGUCCUGACUAUGCUGCGUUUUGAAGAGCUUUCCCCCUCUGUUCUGUUCAUGCACAGAUGAGCGUUGCACUUGGUACAUGCUUUACCUCAUUUCAAGGAGAAUAUGCUUAACUGAGAGGAAAAAUGUGGUUUGGCCUUGGCUGCUGUUUUGAUUUGCUGAAUUUGAAAAAGAUGAUUAUAAUGCCUGCAAUGUGUCAUAUACUUGCACAACUUAAAUAGGUCAUUUUCGUCUGUGGCAUUUUUUACCAUUUGUGAAAGUAUUGCAAAGAUUUGUUAACUGAACUCUUAAUUAUGUUUUAAAAAUGUUUGUUACAUUUCUUUUACAUGUGUGAAAUGAUUAAGUUUAGAAUGACCUCUAACACUCCUGUAAUUAUCCCUUAAAAUACUUCUAUUUUUACUUUCUUAAUAAUAAUAGCCUGCCCUCAGAAAGAUUCAAUGCCCUGCCUGCGGAGCAAGAGUCUUGAGACGGCUCUGGCUCUGCGUGUCCAGUUCCCAGCUGCAGUUGCUCACCCGCAGUCGGCUCUUCCAGUCGCUUCCUGGCAGUGGGUGGUGGCCGCAGAAUAUAGAGAGUAUUC
rnacentral:lncRNA from 1 species